rnacentral:rRNA from 1 species
UAACACCUAGGAAACAGAUGCUAAUACCGGNAUAACAACAGAUGAUGCCUAUCAACUGUUUAAAAGAUGGUUCUGCUAUCACUCUUGGAUGGACCUGCGGUGCAUUAGCUAGUUGGUAGGGUAACGGCCUACCAAGGCGAUGAUGCAUAGCCGAGUUGAGAGACUGAUCGGCCACAUUGGGACUGAGACACGGCCCAAACUCCUACGGGAGGCAGCAGGC